rnacentral:rRNA from 1 species
UCGGGAAUUUUGGGCAAUGGGCGAAAGCCUGACCCAGCAACGCCGCGUGAAGGAUGAAGUAUUUCGGUAUGUAAACUUCGAAAGAAUAGGAAGAAUAAAUGACGGUACUAUUUAUAAGGUCCGGCUAACUACGUGCCAGCAGCCGCGGUAAUACGUAGGGACCAAGCGUUGUUCGGAUUUACUGGGCGUAAAGGGCGCGUAGGCGGCAUGACAAGUCACUUGUGAAAUCUCUGGGCUUAACCCAGAACGGCCAAGUGAUACUGUCGCGCUAGAGUGCAGAAGGGGCAAUCGGAAUUCUUGGUGUAGCGGUGAAAUGCGUAGAUAUCAAGAGGAACACCUGAGGUGAAGACGGGUUGCUGGGCUGACACUGACGCUGAGGCGCGAAAGCCAGGGGAGCAAACGGGAUUAGAUACCCCAGUAGUCCCUGAGCGGGCUGGCAAGGCGCAU